rnacentral:tRNA from 1 species
GUUCUUUUAGCUUAAAAAAAGCGUAAUAUUGAAAAUAUUAAGUUAUCUUUUUGAUUUAGAACA